UUUGAAAUCAAAACAAUUUACGUGUUAAAUACAACAAAAACUUUAUCUAUAUAGAUUUUUGAAAAAUCCAGAUAAUUAUCCAGAUUUUACUUUCUCUCGAUAGAAAACAGUACUGCCAAGGUACAUUACACUUAUUAAAUGUCAAAUUCUAUUAAACGACAGCUGCAGUUGACAGAUAUAUGACAAAAAAAAUAUAAUAUUUAAAAUUGAAUUAAAUUAGGAAUAACAAACAACGCAAAUCAAUGUUAAGUACAAGAUUCACGUAUUUGCAAGAGUGCGAUAUCUUCCACAAAACCAAAGAAAAAAAACCUGAAAAGCAGAUGGAAAGUAAAUCAAUUUAUUAAUACAAUGAGAUAGCAUAUUUAUCUUUUUACUAGGAAUUAUUUCACAAAAGAAGAAUUCUGUGUACUGUGCGCUUGUGUCUUAAUCGUGUCGAUACCUUCAAACCUCACAGCCAAAUGUAAUGUAAAAUGCACUUGGAAUGCCCACUCGUUUGCGAAAACGUCUAUUCUUUGACGAUAAACAUGGUUAAAUGACAACAAAGCUCUUGUUAAUCAAUCGCCUCAUUAUGCCCACCACAAAAAGUCUCAUAACUUUUUAAAAAGAUACACGUCAUGUCUGUGCGCUGCAAAAAAAGCAAGUACAAUCAUACCUCCUGAAAAAUAUUCCUUCAGGAAAUACUUUUCAUCCCAAACAGCAGACAGCAACAAGCAAGACAAUCCCAACCUUGCAUUGCAGCUCAUUCAAUACCCAAAUCCUUCGGCUCCCUAAAAUCAGAGCAUCAUUUAGGUCCCCAAUUGGUUACAGAUAUAAUCUGCCUGCAUUGAUGUCGUCCUGUUUCUUUAGGAAAUGUCUUCUACAAAUGGCUGUAAAGCCGAGAUCCCGAGAAAAUGAUAUCUGCAUGAAUUUUCUUCGCAAUUACUUUCCCCUCCUUAACAGCUAUGCAGGGGAAGGAAUUAAGGCAGUACACAUGGAUUCCCAAGCCAACUCAACCAACCCCCGAGGACAACGUAUACAGCAGACUUUUUAAAUUAAGUUUAUCCAUGUAUUAUAUUUGUUUAUAUUUUAUAACUUUGUUCAUUAUUUAACGUUAGGCCCCCUUUGUGCCAACAAAAUUUUGUAACUAUAAAUGUAUCUUAGAAAUAAGUUAUUUUAAGUCAAUUGUAAAUAGCAAGUUCAAUAAACCAAAAUUGAAUUGCAAUACACAUGGAUAAACAAAAAAACAUAUUUGCAAGCUAUCAUUCUUGAUCCAGCUGUGGGAGUCCUUACAAAGGCGGGAGAUUUUGUUUUAUCUUUUCUUCCCCGAAACGUAAUCUGUUUUCUCAUUAAGAUUUAUUUGACCAGUUUCCAAUCCGAUAUGAAAGUUAAAUAAACAAAUGUGUGCGCGCCUCACUGCAUAAUCUCAGAACUGUUUCUUUUUUGUUUGUUUUGUUGCUUGCUAGGUACUUAUACAAGAAAAGUCUCAUAACCAACUCCAAGUUGAAGCAGAACUCAAAUAUUCAAUCUGGCGAGUGAAUACAAGAUUUUAAGAAUUUCUGCAAUAGGUUAAAGUAUAUUUAAUAUUUUGUGUUCUUCUAAAGAGAGCUGGAAAACUUUCAAUAAAACUAGAUACGAAAGUGUUUUGUUAAAAAUAACUCAAUCAAUAUCUGUUUAAUAUGUUUGAAAUAUAAUUCUAGUUUCGCUAGUUCAUUCCAUAUGUUUGGUUCAUUUUUAGAGAUGAAAAAAACUGCUUUGCUGAGGUUAACGCAGAAAGUUGAUGAUAUGCCUUCUACGCCAUUAGAUGAAGCUAAUGCCGAGGAAAAAUCAACAAGAAAGAUGAAGAAGAGCGACACGGAGCAGAAUAAAAUUGUAACCACAUCACAAUCCCAGUCACAGUCACAUCAACCACCACAUCCACUGCUGCUACCAAAUUCUGCCCAAUCAUCUCCCGCCGUCCAGUUUAUGAAAGCAAAAGUUAAACUAGAAGCGGAUCCAGAACUUGCGGAAGUUCAUACUAAUGCUAAUUUUUUUUAUCAUU